GAUGAACGCUAGCUACAGGCUUAACACAUGCAAGUCGAGGGGAAACGACAUCGAAAGCUUGCUUUUGAUGGGCGUCGACCGGCGCACGGGUGAGUAACGCGUAUCCAACCUGCCCACCACUUGGGGAUAACCUUGCGAAAGUAAGACUAAUACCCAAUGAUAUCUCUAGAAGACAUCUGAAAGAGAUUAAAGAUUUAUCGGUGAUGGAUGGGGAUGCGUCUGAUUAGCUUGUUGGCGGGGUAACGGCCCACCAAGGCAACGAUCAGUAGGGGUUCUGAGAGGAAGGUCCCCCACAUUGGAACUGAGACACGGUCCAAACUCCUACGGGAGGCAGCAGUGAGGAAUAGUGGUCAAUGGACGAGAGUCUGAACCAGCCAAGUAGCGUGCAGGAAGACGGCCCUAUGGGUUGUAAACUGCUUUUAUAGGGGAAUAAAGUGAGUCUCGGGAGACUUUUUGCAUGUACCUUAUGAAUAAGGACCGGCUAAUUCCGUG
rnacentral:rRNA from 1 species